rnacentral:lncRNA from 1 species
AUGAUGGGUAAAAAUGCUGUCGUAAGUAGUGGAAGGGUGUCUGAUCUCUUGGUGAGAGGUUACAACUCAGCCACAGUCAUAAAGCUCCCCACGGCAUACUCCAAGGAUUGCUUACCUGCUAACAGGGAACACAUACCCACAUGUGAAACAGCCAAACAGUGGAGUCAUUUACUGCCUAUUGUAGAUGAGAUCCCUCCACUCCUCAGUUGUGAAGUGGGUCUCCUUAUAGGUUACACCUGUCCCAGGGCUCUUGCACCUAAACGAAUAAUCUUAGGAAAAGAUGGUGAGCCCUAUGCUAUUCGCACGGACUUAGGAUGGAGCAUAGUAGGCAACGCAGCGCUUUGCAAUGAAACGGAUAUAGACAGCAGCCUCUGCCACAGAGUCACAGUUAAAGAAAUCCCUCACUCCACUCCAGCAGAUGCAAUACUUGCUCUGGAAAGAGAUUUCAAAGAGACGGACAGAAACGAAAAGACUGUAUCACAAGAGGAUUUAAUAUUCCUCCAGAAGCUUAAGCAAGGCAUAACACAGACGGAAACAGGACAUUUGGAGAUGCCAUUGCCAUUUAGAGAAAAGCCACAAAUGCCAGAUAACAGACAACUUGCUGAAACCAGACUAAACCAGCUCAAACGCAAACUCAUGAAAGACGAAAAAUACAAGGAGGAUUACAGGAAAUACAUGAAUGACAUCAUUGAAAGAGGUGAUGCAGAAGAGACUGAUGAUAUCGGACUCCCUGGCAAGACAUGGUACAUACCACACCAUGGCAUCUAUCAUCCAAAGAAACCUGACAGGUUACGUGUGGUCUUCGACUGUUCCGCCAAACACAAAGGUACCUGUCUUAAUGAACAUUUACUGAUUGGCCCCGACAUGAUCAACAGUCUUAUGGGUGUUCUUGUGCGCUUCAGACAGCACCAAAUAGCGCUGAUGUGUGACAUCGAGAAAAUGUUCCACCAGUUUCAGGUCAAAGAAAGCGAUCGCAAUUACUUGCGCUUCUUAUGGUGGAAAGAUGGUGACAUAAACAGCCAACCGCAAGCAUACAGAAUGACAGUUCAUCUCUUUGGCGCUGUUUCGUCACCUGGUUGUGCGAACUAUGGACUGAAACAUUUAGCCAAAGAGAACAGCCUUGCAUAUCCUGCGGGCUCACGGUUCAUAACAAGAGACUUCUACGUAGAUGAUGGCGUCACCAGCGCAGAGACAGUCAAGGAUGCUAUACAACUGGCAAAAGAAGCACGUGAAUUGUGUGCAAAGGGUGGAUUAAGGUUACACAAGUUUGUGUCCAACAACAUCAACGUUCUGAAUAGUAUUCCGACCUCAGAGCAUGCCACAGAUACAAAAACAAAGGACUUGACAUUUAAUGAAGCACAGACUGAAAGAGCACUUGGCAUUUACUGGAACGUGGAGGAAGAUUGCUUCACGUUCAACAUCGCACUAAAAGACCAACCACCAACCCGGCGGGGCAUCCUAUCCACAGUUGCGGCAAUAUAUGACCCCCUUGGAUUCAUAGCUCCUUACGUGCUCAAUGGCAAAGGAAUCCUCCAAGAAAUGUGCCGCCAAGGAACGAAUUGGGACGACCCGAUACCAGAGCAUCUCAGGCCACGGUGGGAGCGCUGGAAGGGAGAUCUUCACAAUUUGAGAAAAUUACAAAUAAGCAGAUGUUAUGUUCCUGCAGAUUUUGGAGAUGUGGUGAAAAGAGAAUUACAUCACUUUUCUGACGCAAGCACCACAGGAUAUGGAGAAUGUUCUUAUCUCAGACUCUUAAACAAAGACAAGGAAGUUCAUUGUGCCUUCAUUAUGGGCAAAGCACGUGUCUCACCCACAAAAAUCACCACAAUCCCAAGGCUGGAACUUACCGCAGCCACAGUGUCAGUCACCGUGAGCAACAUGCUGAGAGAGGAACUACUUUAUGACAAUGUCGAAGAGUUCUUUUGGACUGACUCUAAAGUGACUCUAGGAUACCUAAAUAAUGAGGCAAGGCGUUUUCACACCUUUGUCGCGAAUAGAGUGCAGAAAAUCCGCAACAAUACCACACCACAACAAUGGUUUCAUGUGCCUACUGCCGAAAACCCAGCAGACAUGGCUUCCAGGGGCAUGUCAGUAAACGAACUACUCUCAUCCAAUUGGCUUACUGGCCCUAAAUUCCUAUGGGAAAGAGAAAUACAACACCCACCAAAGGAAAAUAUUGAACUCCUAGUAGGAGACCCAGAAGUGAAAAAGGUGCAGACACUAAGUACACAAACUGCUGAACAUGCAAGCCUUAGUGACCGCCUCAGAAAGUUCUCAUCCUGGUCCCGCGCAGUCAGUGCAGUAGCACGUCUCAGACGAUACCUGCUUAAAGACAAAUCAAACACGAUCACCACUGUGACAGAAAGACAAAAUGCAGAAACUGUCAUUAUCAAGGACUUACAAAGACAAGCAUAUCAAAAUGAAAUAGAUACACUAAACAAAGGCGAACAACUAUCAAAGAACAACAAAAUGCACAACUUGGAUGUUUUCUUGGACAAAGAUAAUGUGCUUAAGGUGGGAGGAAGACUACGGCAUUCAUCUCUCCCAAAUUCAUUCAAACAUCCAACCAUCAUUCCCAGAGAACAUCACAUCGCAAAACUGAUAAUUGCCCAAUGCCACGAAAGGGUCAGUCAUCAAGGAAAAGGCUUCACGAUGAAUGAGAUACGAUCCAGUGGGUAUUGGAUUCCAAGGUUAAGCCAAAAGGUUGCAUCCUAUAUUCGCCAGUGUGUGUUUUGUCGUAGACAAAGGAGACCUGUGGAAGGACAAAAAAUGAAAGAUCUACCCACAGAGAGAAUUGAACACACUCCACCCUUCACAUACUGUGGUAUGGACGUUUUUGGGCCGUUCCUGACCAAACAAGCAUGGAAAGAACACAAAAGGUACGGCCUCCUUUUCACAUGCUUCUAUUCACGUGCAGUCCAUGUUGAAAUGUUAGAGGAUCUGUCAACAGAUACUUUUAUAAAUGGACUCAGAUGUUUCAUUGCCAUAAGAGGCUCAGUCAGACAAAUAAAAUGUGAUCAGGGUACCAACUUUAUAGGUGCCAAAAAUGAGCUGAACACAGCACAAAGUGGAAUGGACGCUGACAGACUGACAACCUUCCUUGCAGAAAAACAAUGUGAAUUCAUCCUAAACACACCUCAUGCUAGUCACGCAGGUGGAGUGUGGGAACGACAAAUACGAACUGUAAGAAAUGUUCUUAAUGCAACAUUGGCUCUCACACCCGGUCGGCUCACUGAUUCUUCCCUCAGAACCUUCUUCUAUGAAGCAGCUGCAAUAGUAAACAGCCGCCCCCUAACAACAGACAAUCUCAAUGAUCCACAAAGUUUGGAGCCACUUACUCCAAACCAUCUUGUCACAAUGAAAACCUCAACGGCUCCGCCUCCCCCCGGACAGUUCGUUAAAGCGGACUUGUAUGCACGCAAACGAUGGCGUCAAAUACAGUACUUACUCGAGCAGUUCUGGAGCAGAUGGAGACAGGAGUACCUUCAAAACAUUAUGACCAGACAAAAAUGGAACACACCUAAAAGGAACAUGCAAAUAGGUGACAUAGUAAUGGACAAAGAUGACAUGCGACCUCGAUCCCAAUGGAAGCUUGGCCGAAUCUUGGACACUGUAGAAGAUACAGAUGGACUUGUCAGAAAGGUUAAAAUAGCCUUUGCUGACAGAAAUCUUACCAAAGGAGGUCAGCGUGUGAAUAAAAUGUCAGUGGUAGAACGUCCAGUUCAUAAGUUAGUUCUGCUGCUGGAAGAUAGUUGA